UCGGAUCUCUUCUCUCUCCACUCUCUUGGUGCUCUUCUCUCUCCUCUAUCUCUCUUUUUUUUGGAAUUUUUAUGGUGGUUGGGCUGAGAAAUAUGGUAGUGGUAGGUGGUAUUUUUUAUUUUUUUAAUUUUCGGUGGUUUUGUUGGUUUUUAGGUGGUUUUGUUGGAUUUUGGGUAGGUGGUUUCGUUGGAUUUCGGGUGGUUUUGUUGAAAUUGGGCCAGGGUUUCAAUUUUGGGGGUGGCGUAGUGAAUGGUGGUGGUGGGCAGGGGUGGUAAGUGGCGGAUCUGGGUUGUGGCAUUGUGAGUGGGGGUGGUAGUUCUGGGUUUUGGGAGUCACGAGGUGGUUGGUUUUGUGCGGUGGGGUGGCAGAUUUCGAUAGCGAGGUGGGUGGUGGUUAAUCUAGGAUGUUGAGGUGGUGGAUCUGGGUAUGUGGUAACGGUGCAGGGGUUUUUUGUGGUUAGAUUUUUUGACGGAUUUUCUGUCGGAAAUUUCCCGCGAAAAAUUUCCGACAGACUUUUCAGAAUCUCGUUCGACACUCGAAAUUCCGUCAGAUAGCUGGUUCCGACGGAAAUUACGUCAGAAAAGGUCUUUUUUCCUAUAAAUGUGUUUCCGAUGACCAUUUCUGACGGAAUUCCGUCGAAAACGCGUUUUUAGACGGAAAACAGGGUAUUUUCGACGGAAUUUUUCCGUCGAAAAUGGAAUGUUUUCUAGUAGUGAUAAACCGGACUCUAAUAUUGAUUUUAAGAAAGAGGAGAGCAAAAGAAGCUACUGUUGUAGGCCUUGAGUAGGAGGUGAAAAUAAGGUAAGACUGAAAUUCCCUGCCACUUUCUCUCAUUUUUGGUAUCCUUUUUCAUUUCCAUCUUGCAAAGCCCCAGGUUUGGAUGGUUAUGGCCCCAAAUUCUUUUAACGUUAUUUUAACAUAAUUGGUUCGGAAAUAUACAAAGCUAUUAAAAGUUUCUUUUUUAUCGGUAUCCUUUUAAAAGAACUAAAUCAUAAGAUUAUUACUUUUGAUCCCUAAAUUAGGUUCUCCUUCAAUAGCUAGUCAUUACAGACUUAUUAGUCUCUGUACUACUAUAUAUAAAGCCAUUUCUAAAAUCUUAGUCAAUCGGUUAAAACCCUUCUUGAAUAAAAUUAUUGGUCCUUAUCAAAAUGAUUUUGCUCCUACUCAUGCUAUUCAAGAUAAUAUUCUCUUAGUACAUGAAAUUCUCAACCUUUUUAACAAAUCUAAAAGUAAAAACGAUUGGCUGGCUUUAAAAUUAGAUAUGAAAAGAGCUUAUGAUCGAAUUAAAUGGGAUUUUUUAUGGACUACUCUCUCUUCUUUUGGUUUUAACCAGAUUUAGAUAAAGUGUAUUAAAGCUUGUAUUACUAUGGUCUUUUACUCUUCUGCCGUUAACUACUCUACUACUCAACUUAUUUGCCAUUCCUUGCCAUUCCUGAGGUUUGCGCCAAGGUGACCCCUUAUUCCCGGCUUUGUUUGUUAUUUGUAUGGAAGUUUUAUCCAAAAAACCUCUCCAUCUUAGCCAAUCAAAGAAGCUUGGGAUUGGCCAAAGAAUUGUCCAUUCAGUCUCGAUUCUUCUACAGCUUGUGGUACCCUUAGAAAUACUUUGGCCGAGUUUGCCACCCUUUCUGGAAAACUUGUUAAUUUGCAUAAAUCAUUAGUUGUUUUCUCUAAAUUUGUUUCCCAUCAAAAUAAAUCUAUUUUAGCUAGUUACUUUAACAUGACCCCUAAGUCAUGUCUUGGCCGUUAUUUAGGAGUUUCCUUUAAUUCCAGUACUUAUAAUAACAACAAUUUUCACCAUUUGAUUACAAAGGCUAAUUAGAAAAUGAACAGUUGGUCUCCUAAUCUAGUUUCUAAAGCUAGUAAGUUCGUUUUAAUCCAGAUCAAUCUUGAGGCAAUUCCUUCUUAUGCUAUGUCCACAGCUAGAUUGCUCGUAUCUAACACUUCCUCCCUUGAUAAAAUAAAUAAAGGUUUUUUUCUUGAAACAGUCUCCUCAAAAGAAAAGAUUGCCCUUGGUUGCCUGGGAUACUAUUUGUCAGCCAAAGAGUUAGGGUGUUCUUGGUUUAUGUAAAUUUGAGGUUGUAAAUUCUGUUUUCUUAGCAAAGCUAGGUUGGAAACUUCUCAUUAAUCCCGAAUAAUCUGUGGGUACAAUCGGUUUCAGCUAAAUAUCUUCGUCAUUUCUAAUUCCUUAGUUACCACCCCCAAUCUAAGGAUUCUUUGAUAUGGAAGAAAUUGCUUCAGAUCGUCCUCUUCUUAUUCGAGGCCUUCGUUGGAAAGUAUGAAAUGGUUCCUCUAUCCUGUUUUGGGUUGAUAUUUGGUGUGCUAAUACUAAUAUCAUAGGCCUAUUAUAUUUGGACCCAAAUCUUAUUUCCAAUCUAGAUACUAUAGUUAAUACUUUUAUUACAGAUUACAACUCUUGGGAUGUUCCCUUGCUUCUGUCCAUCCUCACAGUUGAUUUGAUUCAUAAGAUCUGAGGUAUCCCCCUACCAUCCUCUACAAUGCUUGAUGAACCUCGUUAGGGUUUAUUACAAGAUGGUAAUGUUUUGGGUACGGAUCUGGGGGCUCUGACUGGAGCAGGUUGGGUCCAGUUGGAUAACCUACACAGGGUGACAAACAUAACUGCCCUCGGGGGUGGCUCGAGGAACCCCCCUCCGAUGCUUAAGUUAGAAUGUUUUUAGAGAGAGAAAGUGUACUUAGAUAUAGAGAGAGAGUGUGUGUAAGAAUUCGUGUGUCUAACCUAUUUUCCGCUGUACUUGGUUCCCUAUUUAUAGGUGUACGAUCUCCUUUGGGCGGAGUCAUACUUGGUCAGCCUAUAAGUCGACUCUAACGGGCUGGUGAGCCCAUCUGAAUGUCCUUCCAGCGAUGAGUGCGCACCCCAUGAGCAAGGCUGGGAGCGUGGUGAUAGCUCAAUAGGAGCUAUCAUAUACAACUAGCCCCUUAAGAGGUGGUAUGAGGUCAUUUAUGCUAGGUCUUUGACUGAUUAGCACACCUCCUCUGGACGAGCUCGACUGAAAGGGAAUAGCUCUGCAGGAGCUAUCCCAUACAACUAGCCCCUCAAGAGGUGGUGUGAGGUCACUCAUGCCAACUGUUUUGAGCAUGUAACCUUAUCGGUAUUUGCUCAAAAAGUCGUCCGGCUGAGAUUUUCUCCUUACAACUAGCCCCUCAAGUCUCAGGAGUGCAUACGCGGUUCUAAGACUUAAGAGAAACAUGUGGCGAGGUGCUAAAGAUAUUACCAACUGCAGUAUGUGGAUGAUAAUAGCCCCUCGAGUAGUUUUGAAGAAAUGACUAGCUGCCAGCGAGGAUUUUCGUUUACUCCUGCUAAGGUAUGAGAAAUGACGAGCUUAUAGCGAGGAAUUUCGAUUACUCCCGCUGAAGUCUAGAAAUGACGAGCUUAUAGCAAGGAAUUUCGAUUACUCUCGCUGAAGUUUGAGAAAUGACGAGCUUGUAGCGAGGAAUUUUGAUUACUCCCACUGAAGUUUGAGAAAUGACGAGCAUGUAGCAAGAAAUUUCGAUUACUCCCGCUGAAGUAGAGGAAGGUUUUUUUUCCUUUUUUUUGGUGGGAAUGGUGUCUUGCAUGUGUGGGACAUGUGUCAGUCAUCCAGGAUGCAAUUUAUUUUACAGAAGUGACAUGGCAGUUGAACUCUUAUAGAUUAGGUAAAACCGCCCAUUAAUUGUCACAUUUAAUUUCACUGUCUCCCUUUUUUUACUUCCCAUCUUUCUUUUCAUCUUCCUCUUUUCAAAUUUUCUGCUCUCUCUUUCCUUCGCCAUUGCUCUCCUGUUAACGGUUGUUGCUUCAUUGUUGUUUUCAAAAUCCUCACUUGAUUUUCAUUUUUCGGGGUUGCAAUUAUCGCUGCGUGUCGUCAACUACACGAUUUUUCUUUGAAAGGUGAGAAGGGAAGAAGGAUUAAGGAUCUGAGCUCGAUUGUGCAGAAGAGGUUUAAUUUGUGAGACAAUAUGAAGAAAGCCAGCGUCGAUAGAAAGAAAGUUCGGCGAUCCGCUGGAUCUCUGCAAAGCGGCAGCAGCGAUACUCUUCCUCGGGAAGAUAGACAAUUGCAUUUACCCCUUGAUUGGAGUGGUGGUGCUUUCCGAAUCGUUGAGAGGAGGCCAUCAUGUGGUUUAUGUUAGAGGAGGUGACAGGAAAAGAUGAAGAUCAGAAGAAGAAUAUACGGGGAGAUAUUAUAUGGUAUCAUGCCAGUGGUUCGUAUAUUGGGUAAUACAUACUCUGGUUCACCCAUUGCAAUGAAUCUAAAGCUCUUAUGUAACCUAUGAUUUGAGCAAGGGUAUUUAGAGGAGACAAAGGAAACUUGUUCAUCUUAAAAUUGGUUGAUCGAUCAUACUCAUCAUAUAGAAUUCCACAAGGCAAUGAAAGAAGUACUUCAACUUUUACAAUGUUUGCUGCUGCGCUUGGUUGCUGCUGCCAGCUUUUGGUUGCUGCUGUUCUGCUACUAAUAAUGCUGUUCUGGUUGCUAUUGAUACUGUUGCUUUUGGAUGCUGCUGUGAUUCAUUAUUUACUAAAAUUUAACAUUUUUAGCUUUACAAUAUUGUUGGUUUAUAAGCAGUUUUUCAGAUGUAAAUUGAAUUUGGUGUAUAUGCUAUGUUUGAAAAUAUGUUUGUGGCAUGAAAACCAGCAUUUUUGGUGUAAAUGUUAAUUGUAUUUGAUAA